rnacentral:rRNA from 1 species
UACAGAGGGGGCAAGCGUUGUUCGGAAUUACUGGGCGUAAAGGGCGCGUAGGCGGCGCGGUAAGUCACUUGUGAAAUCUCUGAGCUUAACUCAGAACGGCCAAGUGAUACUGCAGUGCUAGAGUGUGGAAGGGGCAAUCGGAAUUCUUGGUGUAGCGGUGAAAUGCGUAGAUAUCAAGAGGAACACCUGCGGCGAAGGCGGGUAGCUGGGCCGACACGUGACGCUGAUGCGCGAAAGCCAGGGGAGCGAAGCGGG